rnacentral:rRNA from 1 species
UACGUAGGGUGCAAGCGUUAAUCGGAAUUACUGGGCGUAAAGCGUGCGCAGGCGGUUAUGCAAGACAGAGGUGAAAUCCCCGGGCUCAACCUGGGAACUGCCUUUGUGACUGCAUAGCUAGAGUACGGUAGAGGGGGAUGGGAAUUCCGCGUGUAGCAGUGAAAUGCGUAGAUAUGCGGAGGAACACCGAUGGCGAAGGCAAUCCCCUGGACCUGUACUGACGCUCAUGCACGAAAGCGUGGGGAGCAAACAGG